GGGUUGGAAGGGACUUUAAAGAUCAUCUGGUUCCAGCCGUCCUGCCGUGGGCAGGGGCAGCCUCCACUUGUUCAGGUUGCUUGGAGCUGCAUCCUGCCUGGCUUUGAACACGUUUAGGGAUGGGACAACCACAACUUCACUGGCUACCCUGUUCCAGUGCCUCACCGCCCUUGCAAUAAAGAAUUUUAUCCCAGUAUCUGCUCUAAACCUACUUCUAGCAUAAACCUGUUUCCCCUUGAGCCGUCACUACAUGUAAAUAGUCUAGCCCCAUCUUUCCUGUAAGUUCCCUUCAGGUACUGUAAGCCUGCCAUUAGGUCACCCCUAAGCCUUCUCUUUCACUGGCGGCACAAUCCCAGUUCUCUCAGCCUUUCCUCAUAGGAGAAAUGCUUCAUCAGCUUGGUGGCCUCCUCUGGACUCGUUCCAAAAGGUCAGUGCCCUUCCUGUGCUGGGGAUCUCAGAGAUGGAUGCAGUCGGCACGUGAGGGUGAUGCACUGAGCUAGUGUCGCUAACAAAUGUGUUUAGCUGCAAUAAUCUGUCAAUAAACUGCUCUUGAAUCUCGUCUUUCUGGAGAAUUUUCCUGCAGGCGCUUGUUUUGAGGUGUCCCUGAACCGCCAGCUCAGCUGUUUGGCAGACCUGCAACGCACGAAGUAGCAGAGUGUGCAUUAGGGCUAGUAGCAGCCUGGGCAAGAGGAGGCCUGCAUCCUGCAGAGCCAGGCUGCUGGGCUGGAAAAGCUGCUGAGACCUCACCCGCCGAUUGAACACAGCCAUUAGGAGCUUUGAUGUUGCACAUUUAUGUUGUGUUUCACUAGUGGUCCUCUGGCAAUCAAAGUAAUUGUUGUACUGACCAAUGCCCUGUGUCCCAGAAGUCUGGAAAAAUGUCUGUAUGUGAGGGAUAAAGGGAAUAUGUUUUUUUUUUUUAUUUUUUUUUUUCUGUUCCUAUGUUCUAUAUGGCUUAACAUUACCAAAUGUCCUGUUAAGUUCUGGUAUUGUAUAGUGGUAAAUCUAGAUCUUGUAAAAUAAGAUUAAGGAUUGAGUAAACUAUUAGGCUGACUUGCAGAGCAUUUUCUCAAACUAAUCUCUUAAUGACAGAACAACUGAGAGUUUUAUACAGUGGUUCCUGACAAGCUUCUGGCCAUGCAAGCAGUGCUGUAAAACACCUGAUUUUCUCAGUGGGGAGCCAGGGUGUAGGAACUAACAAACAGGCAGGAUCUGUCUCUUAAUAAAAGUAGUCAUUGAAACAUUUGGGCUUCCUGAAUGUGCCUGCCAUCAAAACAGUUAUAUUGUGGAUAGUGUGUUUGUAUUUCUGAGGCUAGUAUGACUGUACUGAGUGCAGUGAGUUUGCAAAACUUCUGUGUACUUCUCAAGUUUGUAUAUCUGGAGCACAGAGCUUCAGAUGGUUCUGUCUCUAUCUUGAGACUUUCUGGCUUCUGAGCCUCCAGCUGGUCACUUGCCUUAAAAUUACUGUGGAAACAUGUAUCCUGUUAAUUAAUUUAAAAGAAUAAAAGAAAACUUUUGUGGGA